rnacentral:telomerase_RNA from 1 species
CUUCAGUGAAGUGCUGAUCUUGGAUCGGCGAUCUAACCCUAAGGUUUUCCGGCUUAAUGCCGGUUCUUACUCAGUUUCUGGGUAGUACGUAAAGCUCUGUCUUCAUUGCACUCGUCGGGUGUGUUUUUGGGGUAAUCUUUCACACAAGACACGGGGAUUGAGCUUCGAACAAGAAACCUUGGAAGAAAAUCGAACGAACGUGGAUCCAACACUGCAAAGUGCACUCGCCUUUGUUGCUGGACAUGAUGCAAAAUUUUGGGGAAUGCAGCCGUGAGUAAGUUCACUUUCUGUGUUCAAGGGCUUGCCCUGUGUCCUUUCUUUUGCUCUGUUCUUCGUGGUUUGAAGGCGAUCAGUGCAUAUUUAACUGACAGCAGUGAAUAGUAAACAAAACGAUUUGCCGUGCAUACCUGCUUUCGUAUCGCUUCGUGCGGUUACUUAUUUGAAAGUAGUGAACAUGGCAGUUCGCACAUUU